rnacentral:sRNA from 1 species
AGAGCGGGGAGGCGAACUGCAGCAGAGUUCUUGCUUUCCGGCAGGUGAUGGCGCCCCCCGCGGCCUAGAGGUCCAGCGCCCGCCGCGAGCAGCGGACAGUCCUCCUGUUGUGUCCGACCGAGAGUCCUGGUGACUUUGAACAUGCUGGUGCCGUUAGCCAAGCUGUCCUGCCUGGGGACGAUUAUCAAGAUGAACAGAGGCUGAGAAGGGAGUCAAAAUUGAAGCUCAGAAGGGAUGGUAUCAGAUGGAGGAAUGUCUCUAGACAACGGGAGAGAUAAGCCUUCUCAUCCAGCUAGAAAGAUUAACCCCAGUGGAGAAGAAUAUAGUCUGUUUCACUAUAUUCAUUGAGUACAAUCAACGGGAGAAAAGACAUCUCUUCUGCUAUAAACUGAGAUAAUGAACAAAGUAUGGGCACAAAUACAGAUAAUAUUAGAAGUUACUGCCAAGGAGUUGAGAAAAUUCCCAUCUAAUUGCUUCUGUCUUUAUGAGGUUUGAUGCUAGGGUACCUGCCCUGGAUAAAGGAAAGAAGAGGUGGAGUUGAAGGUUUGAGGACAACAGAGAAGGUUCAGUGAACAUUUUUGCAGAUAAAUCUUUGCAUAUUUCUGUUCAUUUCCAUAAAAUACUUUUUGCUGACUCAAAAAUGUAUACAUUUUUAAGGAUAUCAGAAGAUACUGUGACCAGGUGCAGUGGCUCACGCCUAUGAUCCCAGCAAUUUUAGAGGCUGAGGCAGGCAGAUCACUUGAGGCCAGGAGUUCGAGACCAGCCUGGCCAACAUGGCAAAACCGCAUCUCUACUUAAAAAAAAAAAAUCCAAAAAUUAGCUGGGUGUGGUGGUGCACACCUGUAGUCCCAGAUACUCUGGAGGCUGAGGCGUGAGAAUCGCUUGAAACCAGGAGGCAGAGGUUGUGGUGAGCUGAGAUUGCACCACUGCACUGCAGCCUGGGUGACAGAGUGAGACUCUGUCUCAAAAAAAAAAAAAAGAA